rnacentral:rRNA from 1 species
CCUUAGAGUUUGAUCCUGGCUCAGGACGAACGCUGGCGGCGUGCUUAACACAUGCAAGUCGAGCGGUAAGGCCCUUCGGGGUACACGAGCGGCGAACGGGUGAGUAACACGUGAGCAACCUGCCCCUGACUCCGGGAUAAGCGGUGGAAACGCCGUCUAAUACCGGAUAUGACACGCCACCUCAUGGUGGUGUGUGGAAAGUUUUUCGGUCAGGGAUGGGCUCGCGGCCUAUCAGCUUGUUGGUGGGGUAAAGGCCUACCAAGGCGAUUACGGGUAGCCGGCCUGAGAGGGCGACCGGCCACACUGGGACUGAGACACGGCCCAGACUCCUGCGGGAGGCAUGCAGUGGGGAAUAUUGCGCAAUGGGCGAAAGCCUGACGCAGCGAGCGCCGCGUGGGGGAUGACGGCCUUCGGGUUGUAAACCUCUUUUACCACCAACGCAGGCUCCC